rnacentral:rRNA from 1 species
GAUGAACGCUGGCGGCGUGCCUAAUACAUGCGAGUCGAGCGAAUGGAUUAAGAGCUUGCUCUUAUGAAGUUAGCGGCGGACGGGUGAGUAACACGUGGGUAACCUGCCCAUAAGACUGGGAUAACUCCGGGAAACCGGGGCUAAUACCGGAUAACAUUUUGAACCGCAUGGUUCGAAAUUGAAAGGCGGCUUCGGCUGUCACUUAUGGAUGGACCCGCGUCGCAUUAGCCAGUUGGUGAGGUAACGGCUCACCAAGGCAACGAUGCGUAGCCGACCUGAGAGGGUGAUCGGCCACACUGGGACUGAGACACGGCCCAGACUCCUACGGGAGGCAGCAGUAGGGAAUCUUCCGCAAUGGACGAAAGUCUGACGGAGCAACGCCGCGUGAGUGAUGAAGGCUUUCGGGUCGUAAAACUCUGUUGUUAGGGAAGAACAAGUGCUAGUUGAAUAAGCUGGCACCUUGACGGUACCUAACCAGAAAGCCACGGCUAACUACGUGCCAGCAGCCGCAGUAA